rnacentral:rRNA from 1 species
CUUGCUGGGCUGGAUGAGUGGCGAACGGGUGAGUAACACGUGAGUAACCUGCCCUCUUCUUUGGGAUAACGGUCGGAAACGGCUGCUAAUACCGGGUAUUCACUGUCCUUCGCAUGGGGGGUGGUGGAAAGGUUUUUUCUGGUGGGGGAUGGGCUUGCGGCCUAUCAGCUUGUUGGUGGGGUGAUGGCUUACCAAGGCUUUGACGGGUAACCGGCCUGAGAGGGUGACCGGUCACAUUGGGACUGAGAUACGGCCCAGACUCCUACGGGAGGCAGCAUG